ACGACAAGGAGGCGUACAGGAUGACAUACACCAGUAAGUCCUGCCAGACCAUCUUGUAAACACUGCCACGCCAUCUGUGAACGCGGGAAAGAAACCUACCAAAACAAAUCCAUGACGUCAGUGUACAUCAAGACACGAGAGGGAGAGGACGUCCUGUGGUCAAAUAAGAAGAACGAAGAUUUGAUUUUUCCCUUGACUUCCAUACAUAAUGAUCAACGUUCUUACACACAUAGGAGCAGUACCAUUUGGAUAUAACGUAAAGGAGGGUUUAAUUCACAGCUGUACAACUUGUGGAAGGAUUUCGUCAAUGGUGAUGGAAUGGCCGGAUUAUUAUGGUACUCCGCUGCCAGACGUAGUACUGAGCAACACACCGCCUGAUACAGUUAUCUUUCACCAAUUCUCUGAGGUAAAUAAGCCCCUCCAAGCCACCACACAAGCUACCACACCUCAUCAUCAUCGCAAGCCACGUGAAGGAACCCAACUCCACCUUAGCUUAGAGAGGAGUCAAAAUAUUCGCCAUUUGAAGCCAUACUCCAUUUUUCCCUCCCGGCUACGUCAAGAUAGUUUCCCUCCCUUAUGCUGGAAUAAUCGCCUUCAAUCUCACCUUAAAGGGAUUAUACCUCACCAGGGAGAGAUGAGAGAGAUUAUACCUCACCAGGGAGAGAUGAGAGAGAUUAUUCCUCACCAGGGAGAGAUGAGAGAGGUAAAAACAGAGAGAGAUUCCCAAGAAAUAUGGCGAGGUAUUGGGAACGAUCUAAGAAGAAUUGGUGAUAAUUUUUUCCCUCGUCAAUCAAGAGCCACUACCACCGUCACCACGAGUCUGUCUGUAUGUCUGGCCAUUACAGUCUCAUGGAAACUGCUCUCUAAACUGUACUGAUGAUGAGAGAUGUAUUGUGACCUUUGUGUGACCUUUGGGAUGGGACUGUGACCUUUGGGAUGGGACUUUGACCUUUGGGAUGGGACUUUGACCUUUGGGAUGGGACUGUGACCUUUGGGAUGGGACUGUGACCUUUGGGAUGGGACUUUGACCUUUGGGAUGGGACUUUGACCUUUGGGAUGGGACUGUGACCUUUGGGAUGGGACUGUGACCUUUGGGAUGGGACUGUGACCUUUCGGAUGGGACUGUGACCUUUGGGAUGGGACUGUGACCUUUGGGAUGCUACUGUGACCUUUGAGAUGGAACUAUGACCCUUGUGUGACCCCUAGGAUACAGCGUGACCUGACCUGACCUGACCUCCAUAAACAACUGUAAAUACUCCAAUCUUUGGAAAAAUAGUUAUUUAAUAAAAUUAUUUGAGAAUUUGUAUACAUGUGUACAUGUGUGUAUGUGAAAAUAUAUGUAUGUGUUGUAAAUAUAUGUACGUGCGUGUGUGUGUGUACAUACAUGUAAACACGUACAUAUCUACUUUCAUUAAACCCGACUAAUCGUA